rnacentral:tRNA from 1 species
UGGGGGAUCGUUCAACGGCAGGACAGCAGGCUCUGAAUCUGUUAAUCUAGGUUCGAAUCCUAGUCCCCCAGCCA